CUGUUUUUCUCUAAUACAGUGUUUCACAUAAGACGACAGUUUCGCUUCACAGAGAAUGGAGCAAGUCCUCUUGUCAUCUCUUGGCUCGGGAUCUAUCUCUGCCAUUCGUUCCGUAUGAUUUCCCUUGAGGUAAAAAUGUUGAAAGACAGCUUCAUUCCUUCCGCGCUCCAGUCCUUUGCAUAACACCUGCUCCAAAAAGGCUCAUCACUCCAGUGUGGUUAUAAGUCAUCCAAUUGUCAAGUUUUCUGGUUUCAAAUUUUAAUUUAUAAAAUAAAAAUAUUUUAUUUAAUCUUUUCAACAUACUGUAACCCAACUAUUUCAUCUGAACUGUUAUGUCUCUUUCCUGGUGUAUCCUAUACACAUCUGGUUUUAUAAACUAUGAAUAUGGCUGCAUGCAAAACAUACAUUUUCAGAAGAUGGUGUUCAUAUAUCAUGCAGGGCACUCUGAACAGUCCUAAGCUGUGGCCAGUCACUACGAGAAGAGACUGGAAGAAGUCCUAGGAGAGAAGGACUUCAGUUGAGUUGAUGGUGGCUUUGUGCAGUGACAUAUCCCUUUCUCUAAAGAGAAAUGUUACCUGCAAUAUUCUGGCUGCAUGCCCAGUUGGUCAUUUGGGAUGCUGUCUCUCUAAAUCUGCAGCUUUAGUUACGUCCACUGUCUUAAGCUUUAGUUACGUCCACUGUCUUAACGCACUUCCUGUCAGGAACGGUUGUGUAGAUGUGCCAGUUCAGAUAGCUGUUAUAUCUGAUAUGUGAGAAGCUGUGAUCAGGAGAGCAAAGAAAUUCUCCUAUAUGAUGCCAGUGCAGAAGUCAGAGAU